UACGUAGGGGCCUAGCGUUGUCCGGAUUUAUUGGGCGUAAAGAGCGCGUAGGCGGUCCGAUAAGUCGGCUGUGAAAGUCAAGGGCUCAACCCUUGAAAGCCGGCCGAUACUGUCGGACUAGAGUCCGGAAGAGGCGAGUGGAAUUCCCGGUGUAGCGGUGAAAUGCGUAGAUAUCAGGAGGAACACCGAUGGCGAAGGCAGGUCUCUGGGCUGACACUGACGCUCAUGCACGAAAGCGUGGGGAGCAAACAGG
rnacentral:rRNA from 1 species